UACGGGGGAGCAAGCGUUGUUCGGAUUUACUGGGCGUAAAGGGCGCGUAGGCGGUCAGCACAAGUCAGUUGUGAAAUCUCCGGGCUUAACUCGGAAAGGUCAACUGAUACUGUGCGACUAGAGUGCAGAAGGGGCAACUGGAAUUCUCGGUGUAGCGGUGAAAUGCGCAGAUAUCGAGAGGAACACCUGCGGCGAAGGCGGUUGCUGGGCUGACACGUGACGCUGGAUGCGCGA
rnacentral:rRNA from 1 species